rnacentral:lncRNA from 1 species
CCGGAUCCAAGUAGAAUACAAAUCAUACAAUCUGAUCAAGAUGUGCAAAUGUGUGGAUGAAAUAUGGUGGAAAGGUGUAUGGACUCCUUUUGUAUGAUUCCAUCUCUCUCCUUUUUCUCUUCCUUUUAAACAUAGGCUAUCUUUUUCUCUCUCUUUUUUCUUCCUUUUCUUCUCUCUUUUUUUCCAUCAUGCUUUGAGCAUGGCUCCUUCUUUUUUCUUUUCUUUUUGCAUAGCCCAUGUCUCUUUUGCAAGGGUACUUUUGGAGAGAGAGGUCACAACACAUGUGGAGCUUUAUUUUGUGGAUGGAUGAAUGGGACGUUACUAGCUUCCAGUGUAGAAGUCUACAAUGUGGAAGUGGGGUGUAUGUGAUCUUGAUCAUGAAAGUAUGAAAAAUAUUCCACAAGGGUCACAACAAUUUGGCAAAGCUCAACCUGAUGGCAAGCAGUAUAUGUAUAUAGGUUUUUUCAAUAAGAUCAACAUAUGGCUUUGGUAUGACGGAGGCAUAUCAUUGAGGAGCUAGCUAGGUCAUUGAUUUUUUUCCAAGAUAAAUUUCCCAAGUACUUUGGAAAGAAUAGAGCAAGAUUCAUU